CAGAUGGGACCGUCUAGUUGCAGGAAAACAAGCUCAGGGCUCCCACUGAUUCUACAUUAUGGAAAUUUCAUGAUCCGACUGGAAUCCAGGAAAAUCACAGCUGAAAUACAAAACAUCAGCCCUUAUCUCCAGCACUGUACAUGGCAGAAACUGCUUUUAUUCUAGAUGUCUAGAUCCAGAUCAACUGCAUGGGGUCCUACAGGAGAAGACCAAGAGACAGAGACAGAGACCAGGGAAAAUGACCGAUACCAUUCCUUCUCAGGGAUGCUACACACCCAUGGGGCAGAGGAUAAGAGGUUCCUGAAGGCAUCACCCCUCUGGCCAUGGCUGGUGUGCAGACAAAGCUGGAGAUUUGGAGUAGCCUGUUGUCCCACUGACUCUUAGACUGCCCCAGCUAAGAAGAACCAACUCCUCCUAUUACAGAUGAAAUAAACAAAGCUACUCAAGCUCUCUGGCAUCGCCCUGACGGUCAUCAUGUGCUUCACAUUUCCCUCCUGCCCCCCCUGAUUUUCUGGAAAAGGGAGAAACACACCAAAGAGAGUUCUAGAAAAAAUGAGAAUAAGAAAUUUACCUGUAAUCCUUGCUCAAGAAACUGAAGCUCUGAGGCCACAUUGUUCCAGCCUUUUGCAGCUCCUGCAUGUGGAUACCAGCACCAGCAGCUCCCCGACCAGGGGCCCCAGCUAAGCCCUCCCAGAGGAUGAUCUUGGCUUUGUACAUGGGGUGUCAAUAUCCUGUGAGUCCAACAGAGGGAAGACAUAAGAAUAUGGUCACCCAGGUAACAGACAUUUGUCUUAAUGUAUUCACUGUGUCAUCAGAAGCCACUUCUUAUCCAUCCUUGUGAAUACUUGAUGAAUGAGGAGUCAAUGAUUAAAUGAAGGAAAGAAAAGAGACUGAAAAGGAGGUAUGAGAAUGGGAAAGACGAGUGGAAAGACGAGAUAGAUAUUGCCCUAAAGACACAGUAAGCCAUCAAAUAUCUGUUUUCUAGUCCCCUUCUGGGCCCUCUUGGAUUUUGAAAAAGGGAGGAAGAAAUUGGAAAAAUUACCAAUAACUUCUAUUGACUUUGUAGAUUCCUAGUUUCCCCACAUGUGGCUAUGCUUGAAUCAACUUGUAAAAGUCUCUUUAUAGUCUGUUGAUGUUCAUGCAGGCACUAAAAGGCCACGGUCGGCCUACUUAGAUGAUCCACUCCACCCUGGGCUCCGGAAGAUGUUCCAGGGCAUUUGCCUUUACUUGACCCUAUGCUGAGAAGCUACCAAUAUUUUUCUUUCCCCAAAUUGGUUUUAUUUGUACCCUUUAUAUAUUAAAUAUUAGAGUAUUGGCCAAG
rnacentral:lncRNA from 1 species